CACAUUUUGUGUGAUUUUGAGGAAAUUAUCCAUUUGGGAAAUUUUUUGAUACACCCUGUAUAUGCAUUACUCAACUAAAAGCAUGCAGAAAUAAAAAAUCAGGGGUGGGUGCAACCUCCGUCGCAGGGACUUUCCACCGGCUGGGAAAGACCCUGCUAUCGGCUGGUCACGUGUCUCCCAGAAUCUGGGAGAUAACAAACAAUUUCAAUUAGGGUGGGUACCUAAGUACGUUUUGUCAUUGAGCAAGGAGUGAGCGAAGAAAUAACCCAGAAAUCAUGCAGGAAAUAUUUACAAAAUUGUAUAUUUUAUUUGUCAUGAAUACUAUCAAUGUUACACAAUACUCAAUAGUGAAUAUCAGAUUUCAUUGUGCGCAGAAUGUCGGUGAGCAAAGAUAUAUCAGAUUUCAAUAGACAAAUUAUGCCGAUACAGCUCGUCGAAGAAAAUCAAUAUGUCGCAAACGUUACAAGAAAAUAUAUUUCUACACCAGUACCGACCGAUGUGGCUGUUAUUUAGCUGUUGGUGUCUAUCCUAAACUACAAGGAUUUAUUUAAUACUGAGAUGUGUAACGAAAUAUAGAGAUCUUUUGAUUUCUGAAAUAUCGCAAACAAUGUUGCUUGUAAACAAUGCUACUCGGACUGCUGAACUGUCUUCAGAACCAUCCUCAGAGAUACGAAAAACCAGAAUCAGUUGAAACUUGAUGCUCAAGAAAUACGGUAAAAUAAUUCGACAAUAGCCUACUCAAAGAUAAGUGAAAGACUCGUCUGUGCGUGUAUGUU